rnacentral:rRNA from 1 species
GACGAACGCUGGCGGCGUGCUUAGCACAUGCAAGUCGAACGGAAAGGCCCUGCUUUUGUGGGGUGCUCGAGUGGCGAACGGGUGAGUAACACGUGAGUAACCUGCCCUUGACUUUGGGAUAACUUCAGGAAACUGGGGCUAAUACCGGAUAGCAGCUCCUGCUGCAUGGUGGGGGUUGGAAAGUUUCGGCGGUUGGGGAUGGACUCGCGGCUUAUCGGCUUGUUGGUGGGGGAGUGGCUUACCCAGGCUUUGACGGGUAGCCGGCCUGUGAGGGUGGCCGGCCACAUGGGGACUGCGAUACGGCCCAGACGCCUACGUUAGGCAGCAGGGGGGAAUAUUGCACAAUGGGCGGAAGCCUGAGGCAGCAACGCCGCGUGCGGGAUGACGGCCUUCGGGUUGUAAACCGCUUUCGCCUGUGACGAAGCGUGAGUGACGGUAAUGGGUAAAGAAGCACCGGCUAACUACGUG